rnacentral:rRNA from 1 species
AGGGUUUGAUUAUGGCUCAGAACGUACGCUGGCGGCACGCCUAACACAUGCAAGUCGAACGAAGUAGCAAUACUUAGUGGCAGACGGGUGAGUAACAUGUGGGUAUCUGCCCUUUGGCCUGGAAUAACACGAGGAAACUUGUGCUAAUACCGGAUAAGUCUUUACGGAGAAAGCUUUAUGCACCAUUGGAUGAGCCCGCACUUGAUUAGUUUGUUGGUAGGGUAAUGGCCUACCAAGACUGUGAUCAAUAGCUGAUUUGAGAGGAUGAUCAGCCACAUUGGGACUGAGACACGGCCCAAACUCCUACGGGAGGCAGCAGUGGGGAAUCUUGCACAAUGGAGGAAACUCUGAUGCAGCGAUGCCGCGUGAGUGAAGAAGGCCUUUGGGUUGUAAAGCUCUUUCGUCGGGGAAGAAAAUGACUGUACCCGAAUAAGAAGGUCCGGCUAACUUCGUGCCAGCCGCCGCGGUAAUAC